rnacentral:rRNA from 1 species
CCUACGGGUGGCUGCAGUGGGGGAUAUUGCACAAUGGGGGAACCCUGAUGCAACGACGCCGCGUGGGUGAAGAAGCGCCUCGGCGCGUAUAGCCCUGUCAGCAGGGAAGACAAUGACGGUACCUGAAGAAGAAGCCGCGGCUAACUACGUGCCAGCAGUCGCGGUAAUACGUAGGGGGCAAGCGGUAUCCGGAUUUACUGGGGGUAAAGGGGGCGCAGACGGCGAUGAAAGCCAAGAGUGAAAGCCCGGGGCGCAACCCCGGGACUGCUCGUGGAACUGCGUGGCUGGAGUGCAGGAGGGGGAGGCGGAAUUCCUGGUGUAGCGGGGAAAUGCGUAGAUAUCAGGAGGAACACCGGUGGCGAAGGCGGCAUGCUGGACUGCAACUGACGUUGAGGCCCGAAAGCGUGGGGAGCGAACAGGAUUAGAUACCCUAGUAGUC